UACGUAGGGUGCGAGCGUUGUCCGGAAUUAUUGGGCGUAAAGGGCUCGUAGGCGGUCUGUCGCGUCGGAUGUGAAAACCCAGGGCUCAACCCUGGGCCUGCAUUCGAUACGGGCAGACUAGAGUUCGGUAGGGGAGACUGGAAUUCCUGGUGUAGCGGUGAAAUGCGCAGAUAUCAGGAGGAACACCUGUGGCGAAAGCGGCGCACUGGACCACAACUGACGCUGAGGCGCGAAAGCUAGGGGAGCAAACAGG
rnacentral:rRNA from 1 species